CAGUCGUACCGACGGGAAUUCAACUUCUUGAGUGCUUGUCGUGGGUGAUGUUGAGCUUCACGGCCUUCGUUGCCUUGCGUUAUGGUGCUUUUGUUGUGUGCUUUUCCGUAUGGUAGGUCAAUAUCGAUUUUGAACGUCAUAAAAUGAUCGGAGGGAUGUGGCUUCGAUCUCGUAUCGGAGUGUUAUAGCCUUUGGUAGAUGUGACGAUUGGGAUCGAGGAUUGCAACGAAUACCCUUUGGGCUAUCCGUCUGACCUCUG
rnacentral:rRNA from 1 species